rnacentral:rRNA from 1 species
UACGUAGGGUGCGAGCGUUAAUCGGAAUUACUGGGCGUAAAGCGUGCGCAGGCGGUUUUGUAAGCCAGAUGUGAAAGCCCCGGGCUUAACCUGGGAAUGGCAUUUGGGACUGCAAGGCUUGAGUGCGGCAGAGGAGACUGGAAUUCCUGGUGUAGCAGUGAAAUGCGUAGAUAUCAGGAGGAACACCGGUGGCGAAGGCGCUCAUCUGGCCCAAUACUGACGCUGAGGCGCGAAAGCUAGGGGAGCAAACGGG